ensembl:lncRNA
AUGCAGCCCGACUUUGCUCCCUUCCCGCCCACCUCCGUCUGCCGAUAUUCAAUCAGAGAGUCCUUGAGCAAUUCACAUUUUGAGAUACAACUGUCACUGACCUCCAUCGCUGGAGAGGCAGGCUUUUCAGAAAGGGACAGAAGACGAGUAGGUCUUCAGAAGAGGAGGAGGAGCAGGACAGUGUUCAUGAAUCUGAGGAAUUCAGUUUGUAAUAAGGCGAAAUUACAUCUCAUCUCACAAUUUUUUUCCUGGCUGUCUGGAAUUUAUUUCUUCUUCCUUCUCGUUCCAUUUUUGACUGUGAAUAUUCAGCCGACGACUAGGAAUUGUUCCGAUGCUUCCCUGAGUUAACACCAUAGGGAUAUGAAGUUUGAAUGACACUAUCUACUCUAACUUGGUUCAGGGAUCUCCCAUAAGCCAUUUCUGGAUGGCAGCAUGUGUCACAAAUGGCAGGGACGCUCAGAGAAUUUGGCAUAUCAUUUUUCUCUUUGGAUGCUAUAACUAUCUCGGGGAUCUCUAUUUUUAUUUUUUUUUACCCAGUGACUUCAAUUUCCUCUGCUCAACAGACCUUAUCUUAUCAACAGCUUAAACCAUGUUUACAAAUAAAGAUUGUGGGGCUCUGCUUUUGACAACAAAUUGUUCCAUAAGCUGCUGAUCUUUGUUACAGAUUUGGAGCAUGUUAUGAUGAUGGUAAUUAAACAACCAAGCUGUCUGCAUCGCGCAGAAUUUUCCUCGUCUUCUCUUUUCUUCUGUGCUUGAUAGCUCUUUUGUUGCUGUUGCCGGCCUCAAUCAAAACAAGGGUGCCACCGCAUUCACUUGUUACACGAAUCUCAUUUAUUCAGCCAUCUCAGCUGAAACAUAAGAGCCCACACUGAAAUCUUCUGCAAAAAUAAACCUGCAGGAGAGUAGUUAAAAUGUCAACGAAUGCUCACAAGUGCAAGUAUAAGAGAGUAGCAUGCAAGGAAAGCUCACCGUCAGACAGAUAAAGCCAAUAUCCCGUUGAUGCACCAGGAAAAAAAGAAAAUUUCUGGAAUGGUACUUAAUGGUGACAUAAGGAUACCAGAGGAAAAUAUUUCCAUCACUAAGCAAGAGUAUGAUAGGGUUGUUGUAUGUCUUUCGGGCUGUGUGCCCAUGUUCCAGAAGUAUUCUCUCCUGAUGUUUCGCCCACAUCUAUGGCAGGCAUCCUCAGAGGUUGUGAGGUAUGGAUAAACUAAGUAAGGAAAGGAAAGAAUAUAUAUCUGUGGAGAGUCCAGGGUGUGGCAAGAGUCUUUUGUCACAGGGAAGCCAGCAUUAAUGUUGCAAUUAAUCACCCUAAUUAGCAUUGGAAAGGUUUUUGUCUCUUGCCUGGGGGCAUCCUUUGUUCAGCCAAUAGCUGUCCUCUGGCCUCAGAGUGUUGGUUCCCAUCAACUGUUUUGAUUUUAGAGUUUUUUAAUACUGAUAGCCAGAUUUUGUUCAUUUAAUACUGGCUUCUCUCAUUUAGUUCUUCAACAGAACUUGACUCAAACUCUAGGCAGACAGAACUCAACUGGACUGACUCAAUCAGUAUGCACAAACACUUGUGUCUGGAUACUCCCUAGUUCCAGCCACACAACAAGGAUAUCAUAGCUUCUUGGCAAUUAACUCUUUCCACACUAUAGUACAUUCUGGAUGAUGCAAUCAGUUGCAAUACAAGCAUGGCACAAAUUGCAUUUAAACACUAUCAAUACACAAAUCCCACAUUAACACUUCUCUGUAUCUAAAAAGACACCAAAGUGACAGAUGCCACUAAAGGACUGAUAUACAAUGAAAGUUAUGUGCCAAGGGUGCUGAUGCGCAUCACAUUAGUCUCAAUGCAUAUUAGGCAGCAAUGCACAUUGGACGCUCUUGCUGGUGUCAUCUUUGCAAUUCAUUAACAAG